rnacentral:rRNA from 1 species
CCCUUAGAUGUUCUGGGCGGCCCGCGCACUACAAUGGCGUGUGCAGCGAGUGCCGAAGUAGAGUUUUCCGAGGUAUUCUUGCAAUGCUCGUUUUGAUGGGGAUAGACCCUUGCAACUGUUGGUUUUGAACGAGGAAUUCCUUGUAAGCAUGGUUUAUCAUCCGACGCUGAAUGCGUCCCUGCCCUUUGUACACACCGCCCGUCGCUCCUACCGAUGAGUCGUCCGGUGAAGUUCGUAGACCUCGUGAUCGCGGAUCACUGGGGGAAGCAAAAUGAACCUCGCGGCUUAGAGGAAGGAGAAGUCGUAACA